CCUACGGGGGACUGCAGUGAGGAAUAUUGGUCAAUGGGAGAGAUCCUGAACCAGUCAAGCCGCGUGAGGGAAGACGGCCCUAUGGGUUGUAAACCUCUUUUGUCGGAGAACAAAACCCGGGACGUGUCCCGGACUGCGUGUAUCCGACGAAAAAGCAUCGGCUAACUCCGUGCCAGCAGCCGCGGUAAUACGGAGGAUGCGAGCGUUAUCCGGAUUUAUUGGGUUUAAAGGGUGCGUAGGCGGUCCGUUAAGUCAGCGGGAAAAUUGCGGGGUUCAACCCCGUCGAGCCGUUGAAACUGGCAGACUUGAGUUGGCGAGAAGUACGCGGAAUGCGCGGUGUAGCGGUGAAAUGCAUAGAGAUCGCGCAGAACUCCGAUUGCGAAGGCAGCGUACCGGCGCCAGACUGACGCUGAGGCACGAAAGCGUGGGGAUCGAACAGGAUUAGAUACCCUUGUAGUC
rnacentral:rRNA from 1 species